AAGAAGCAGUGAGUCAAAGUCAUGAGACUGUCGUGCUUGCACGAGCAGGCACAUGACCUUGACGAACGCUCAAACAUGAGCAAGUAGCGCAAUAGCGCGGAUUGCGAAUGUUUGGAGCAUGGCGGGAGCGAAGCGUAGCCAUGCGGAGCUUUUG
rnacentral:sRNA from 1 species